GCUGGGGUGGCAGAGCGGCCAAUUGCACAAGACUGUAAAUCUUGCGCCCGAAAGGGCUACGGGGGUUCGAAUCCCUCCCCCAGCA
rnacentral:tRNA from 2 species